CACGUACAUGAAAAUGAGGCUCCAUGGCCAAGGUGAAAUACAUUCCGGAAGGGUGUAUUUGACUUUUUUGACAAAUAAUUAGCAGUAAACAAUUUAAAAAACAAAAAUGUAUAAUUUUAAUUGCUAUAAAACUUAUUUACACUUCAAUAAAGUUAUCAUAAUCAUAUAUUUUUGCUGAAUUGUGCAUUGUGACUCAUUUCAAUACAUCAAAAUCAUCCUGCUUCAUAUCUCGUCCUGGCAAAGUGGGAUCUUAUAAACAGCCCCUUAUUCAGCAAAUUGCGAUGGUGCCAUCCCUUGGGGGUGAGGCAGCACUUUCCUUGCGAUAGUAACUUCUAGUCAUAUAAUUAUUUAUGUUGUUAUGCAUGGUAUUAUAAUUAACUAAUUAAUUUUGUCGUUCUGCAUGUUUUUCUGCAUGUUGAAGCCUCAGUGCCAUCUCUUGUGUAUAUUAAACAUAUAAUUUCUG